CGCCAGACUCCUACGGGAGGCAGCAGUGGGGAAUAUUGCACAAUGGGGGAAACCCUGAUGCAGCGACGCCGCGUGAGUGAAGAAGUAUUUCGGUAUGUAAAGCUCUAUCAGCAGGGAAGAAAAUGACGGUACCUGACUAAGAGGCCCCGGCUAACUACGUGCCAGCAGCCGCGGUAAUACGUAGGGGGCAAGCGUUAUCCGGAUUUACUGGGUGUAAAGGGAGCGUAGACGGCAUGGCAAGUCAGAUGUGAAAGCCCGGGGCUCAACCCCGGGACUGCAUUUGAAACUGUCAGGCUGGAGUGCAGGAGAGGUAAGUGGAAUUCCUAGUGUAGCGGUGAAAUGCGUAGAUAUUAGGAGGAACACCAGUGGCGAAGGCGGCUUACUGGACUGUAACUGACGUUGAGGCUCGAGAGCGUGGGGAGCAAACAGGAUUAGAUACCCGUGUA
rnacentral:rRNA from 1 species